AGUCGCACGAGAAAGUUCCUUCGGGAACGAGUACAGUGGCGCACGGGUGCGUAACACGUAGCUAACGUGCCCUUUCGCUGGGGACAACUCCGGGAAACCGGAGCUAAUACCGAAUGAUCUGAUAGAAACUGCGGUUUUUAUCGGUAAAGCCUUCGGGCGCGAAAGGAGCGGGCUGCGGCCCAUUAGUUUGUUGGUGGGGUAACGGCCUACCAAGACUACGAUGGGUAGCUGGUCUGAGAGGAUGAUCAGCCACACUGGAACUGAAACACGGUCCAGACUCCCACGGGAGGCAGCAGUUGGGAAUAUUGGACAAUGGGGGAAACCCUGAUCCAGCAAUCCCUCGUGAAGGAUGAAGGCCCUCGGGUCGUAAACUUCUUUCAGUAAGGAAGAAAAAAAUGACGGUACUUACAGAAGAAGCACCGGCUAACUACGUGCCAGCAGCCGCGGUAAUACGUAGGGUGCAAGCGUUGUUCGGGAUCAUUGGGCGUAAAGAGCGUGUAGGCGGCAAGAUAAGUCUGGUGUGAAAGCCCGGGGCCUAACCCCGGAAGUGCACUGGAUACUGUCUAGCUAGAGGACGAGAGAGGAAAGUGGAAUUCCUGGUGUAGGGGUGAAAUCCGUAGAUAUUAGGAGGAACAUCAGAGGCGAAGGCGGCUUUCUGGCUCGUAACUGACGCUGAGACGCGAAAGCGUGGGUAGCAAACAGGAUUAGAUACCCUGGUAGUCCACGCCCUAAACGAUGGAUACUAGUUGUCGGGAUACCUAAUUGUCUCGGUAACGUAGCUAACGCGCUAAGUAUCCCGCCUGGGGAGUG
rnacentral:rRNA from 1 species